GACGAACGCUGGCGGCGUGCCUAAUACAUGCAAGUUGAACGCUUGAUUUUCACCGAAGCUUGCUUCACCGAAAAUCAAGAGUAGCGAACGGGUGAGUAACGCGUGGGUAACCUACCUAUCAGCGGGGGAUAACUAUUGGAAACGAUAGCUAAUACCGCAUAACAAUGUUGGAUGCAUAUUCGACAUUUGAAAGUACCAACUGGUACACUGAGAGAUGGACCCGCGUUGUAUUAGCUAGUUGGUAGUGUAAUGGACUACCAAGGCGAUGAUACAUAGCCGACCUGAGAGGGUGAUCGGCCACAUUGGGACUGAGACACGGCCCAAACUCCUACGGGAGGCAGCAGUAGGGAAUCUUCGGCAAUGGACGAAAGUCUGACCGAGCAACGCCGCGUGAGUGAAGAAGGUUUCGGAUCGUAAACUCUGUUGUUAGAGAAGAACGUUGCAUAGAGUGGAAAAUUAUGCAAGUGACGGUAUCUAACCAGAAAGGGACGG
rnacentral:rRNA from 1 species